ACGGAAGGCAGCAGUGGGGAAUAUUGCGCAAUGGGGGAAACCCUGACGCAGCGACGCCGCGUGCGGGAGGAAGGCCCUCGGGCCGCAGACCGCUUUCGGCGGGGACGAUCAUGACUGUACCCGCAGAAGAAGCCCCGGCUAACUACGUGCCAGCAGCCGCGGUAAUACGUAGGGGGCGAGCGUUAUCCGGAUUCAUUGGGCGUAAAGCGCGCGUAGGCGGCCCGGCCAGUCGGGGGUGCAAUCGCGGGGCCCAACCCCGCAACUGCCCCCGAUACUGCCGGGCUCGGGUCCCGCAGGGGAAGGCGGAACUCCCGGUGUAGCGGUGGAAUGCGCAGAUAUCGGGAGGAACACCGGUGGCGAAGGCGGCCUUCUGGGCGGCGACCGACGCUGAGGCGCGAGAGCCGGGGGAGCGAACAGGAUUAGAUACCCUGGUA
rnacentral:rRNA from 1 species